CGGAACUGGCCUAUAAAAGGGGGCGGGCGGCCCGGGCUGCUCUCUCUCGGCCGUUGUCGCCGCCAUUUUGUGGGAGCGCGGAGGUUCUGUUCGCCAUCCGCCGCCAUCCGCGGGCUCUGAGCCCAGGCCGCCAUGAGAGCUAAGUGGCGAAAGAAGCGUAUGCGCAGGCUGAAGCGCAAAAGGAGAAAGAUGAGGCAGAGGUCUAAGUAGAUGUCUUCUCUGCUGCUACUGAGGCUGCAAAGCAGAGCAAAGAAACGUUGGAGCUUGGCUGACAUCCAGACACAACUACUUCCUCGUGUUGGUUUUAGGAGUGCUUUCCUAUCCGUCUUGAAGCAUUUUCCAUCUUAAGAAUGAAGGUCUCAUCUGUAUGGGUGGUAGCCCUGAGCUUUGACGUUCUGGACUGGUUCUGGUCUUUGUAGUUGAAUGUGGCAGGUAUAUAAUAAAAACCUGGUUUGGUUGGGAA